rnacentral:snoRNA from 10 species
UACUCUGAUGAUUCUUUAAAAUUUAUUAACUUUCGUUCUACCGAUACCAUCAAACGAUGUUGGGGAAAAAACUUUAUUAAUCUGAUU